GAUACUCUCGCCGAAGUGUGAGUAGAUCGGACUUCUGGUGACGGACUCGAGACGCUUCAGCUGACGAGAGGUAGCAAUGUAGAACUUCUGGAUCAGAUAGUAAAUCACAAGGAACGCUGGUACGACUGCCAAGAAAA